rnacentral:rRNA from 1 species
GACGAACGCUGGCGGCGUGCUUAACACAUGCAAGUCGAACGCUGAAGCUCAGCUUGCUGGGUGGAUGAGUGGCGAACGGGUGAGUAACACGUGAGUAACCUGCCCUCUUCUUUGGGAUAACGCCCGGAAACGGGUGCUAAUACUGGAUAUUCACUGAUUCUCUCAUGGGGGUUGGUGGAAAGGUUUUUUCUGGUGGGGGAUGGGCUCGCGGCCUAUCAGCUUGUUGGUGGGGUGAUGGCCUACCAAGGCUUUGACGGGUAGCCGGCCUGAGAGGGUGACCGGUCACAUUGGGACUGAGAUACGGCCCAGACUCCUACGGGAGGCAGCAGUGGGGAAUAUUGCACAAUGGGCGAAAGCCUGAUGCAGCGACGCCGCGUGAGGGAUGGAGGCCUUCGGGUUGUAAACCUCUUUCGCUCAUGGUCAAGCCGCAGCUUUGGGUUGUGGUGAGGGUAGUGGGUAAAGAAGCGCCGGCUAACUACGUG